UAUAUAUAUAUAUAUAUAUUACUUAAUUUAAGAUAUGGUUUCAAACAUAAAUCAGUCAUUAUAACUGACAGAUAAAACUUCAACAAAAUCCAAGCAAUAAAAUACUCAUAAAGCAACAUACUUGUCAAAUCAAGAAGACAUG